rnacentral:rRNA from 1 species
AUUGAACGCUGGCGGCAGGCCUAACACAUGCAAGUCGAGCGAGCGGCGGACGGGUGAGUAAUGUCUGGGAAACUGCCUGAUGUAGGGGGAUAACUACUGGAAACGGUAGCUAAUACAGCAUACCAUCAGAUGUGCCCAGAUGGGAUUAGCUAGUAGGUUGGGUACUGGCUCACCUAGGCGACCAACCCUAGCUGGUCUGAGAGGAUGACCAGCCACGCGUGAACUGAGACACGGUCCAGACCCCUCCGGUGGGCAGCAGUGGGGAAUAUUGCACAAUGGGAGCAAGCCUGAUGCCGCCAUGCCGCGUGUGUGAAGAAGGCCUUCGGGUUGUAAAGCACUAUCAGCGGGGAGGCGUUACCCGCAGAAGAAGCACCGGCUAACUCCGUGCCAGCAGCCGCGGUAAUAC